rnacentral:tRNA from 1 species
GCGGGUAUAGUAUAUCGGUAUUAUGCAGCCUUCCCAAGGCUGAGAGACGGGUUCGACUCCCGUUACCCGCUCCA